GUCAGUUGGCUGCUGUGAGGACAAGGAAGAGUCACUGCCUGGAGGAGCUGCCUACAAGAAACAUUAAGGAGGUGUGAAACUCUAAGCUUUCAAAGCCCUCACAGGAUUUCUGUCAUGGAUCAGUGGCACCUUCCAGGAGGGAGUGAGAGAGGAUGAAAGAAUUUGUGUUAUGCCAUGUCAGCUGGCUACAGAGAGUGGGACCUUGCCCAUGUUAUUUAGCACUAUAAAGAACCUGAGCACAGAAGAAGUUAAAGACCAUCAGGCAGUUUUUCAACACACCCUCUAUGACAACUGUUCUGGAAAACUUCAUUGGGAGCCUUUUACUUGAUCUUGUAGGAAUAAACCUUAAAAUCCCAGGUCUCCCUGUUGAAAGGGAUUGAAUUUAAGAGAAUGGGCCAAGUCUUUUCCAAGGAUCACCCUUCCUGACUACGCAUCAAGUCUGAUGGAAUUUAAUUUACCCACAGGAGACAUCUUAUUUUUCAGAAGUCCUUAUAUCCACAGAGAACUUCCACAGAUGUCACAGAGAAGAGGUGGAUCAGCAAGGCUGUGAAACAGCUACUGCUAAUUUUCAUGUUCC